rnacentral:tRNA from 1 species
CCCCUGGUGGUCUAGUGGCGAGGACUCUUGGUUUUCAGCUGGGUUACCCAGGUUUAAUUCCUGGGCAGGGAA